CUGGUUGAUCCUGCCAGCAACAUAUGCUCGUGUCAAAGAUUAAGCCAUGCAAGUCUUAGUUUAGGUUCACCUAACGAAACUGCGAAGGGCUCAUUAAAUCAGUUAUAAUCUAGCCAGGACAUCAUUCGGAUAACUGCAGUAAUUCUGGAGCUAAUACGUACAAAAAGGGCGACUCACGAAGCCCACCAUUACCAUUAUUGUCCGCCCAGCUUGCUGGGAGCAUGAUUGCCGGUAAUUGCAGUUAACCAAUUGGCCUUGUGCCAGUGGUACCAUGGUAGAGUUUCUGCCCUAUCAAGUCUUACGUAGAGUAUUGGUCUACGUAGCUGAUAACGGGUGACGGGGAAUUAGGGUUCGAUUCCGGAGAGGGCGCCUGAGACAUGGCGACCACUUCUAAGGAAGGCAGCAGGCGCGCAAAUUACCCAAUCUCAAUUCGAGGAGGUAGUGACAAUACAUACUGAUGGGGCCCCUUUUAGGGGACCUAAUCGGCAUGAGGCAGUUAUAAAUAUUCUGCCAAGGAACAAUCAGAGGGCAAGUCUGGUGCCAGCAGCCGCGGUAAUUCCAGCUCUGAUAGCGUAUGCUAAAGUUGUUGUGGUUAAAAGGCUCGUAGUCUAAAUCGACUGGGGGGAACCUGGGUUCACACCUAGGGAAACUUCACUCCUUUCUAGUGGCUGCUCUUAACUGGGUGGCUUCGACGACUGGAUGUUACCUUGAGUAAAACUAAACGCUUAAGGUGGGUCACAUGCUUUUGAAAGAUGCAGCAUGGUAUAACAAAAUAAGGGUCCGUUUCCUAGCGGACGGGAAAUAUACCAAUGAUUAACAGGGACGGUUGGGGGUGUUCAUAUUACAGGGGGAGAGGUGAAAUUCUAUGAUCCUUGUAAGAUGUCCUAAUGCGAAGGCAUUCACCAAAUACGUCUCCAUUGAUCAAGAACGAAAGUUAGGGGGAUCGAAGACGAUCAGAUACCGUCGUAGUCUUAACAGUAAACUAUGCCGACCAGGAAUUGGAUAACGUUACACGGAUGACUUCUUCAGCACCCAUAGAGAAAUCUAGAGUCUUUGGGUUCCGGGGGGAGUAUGGUCGCAAGGCUGAAACUUAAAGGAAUUGACGGAAGGGCACCACCAGGAGUGGAACCUGCGGCUUAAUUUGACUCAACACGGGGAAACUUACCAAGUCCAGACAUAAUAAGGAUUGACAGGUUAAAGACUUUUCUUGAUUCUAUGGGUGGUGGUGCAUGGCCGUUCUUAGUUGGUGGAGUGAUUUGUCUGGUUAAUUCCGAUAACGAACGAGAUCCGGGCUGUUUACUAGGCACUUCGGUCGUCUGAUAGGUGAAGCCUGAUGCUUCGGCGGAGGGUGGAUCUUUGACGCGCCGGUAGAACCUUCUUAACAGGACCUUUGGGGAUUACUCAAAGGAAGUUCCGGACAAUAACAGGUCUGUGAUGCCCUUAGAUGUCUUGGGCUGCACGCGCGUUACAAUGAUUAUCUCAACGAGUCCCUUGGCCGUCGGGUCGGGGGAAUCACUUAAAAAUAAUCGUGAUUGGAAUAGGUCCCUGCAAUUUCGGACCUUGAACGAGGAAUUCCUAGUAAGUGCGGUUCAUCAAACCGCGCUGAUUACGUCCCUGCCCUUUGUACACACCGCCCGUCGCUCCUACCGAUUGAAUGUUCCGGUGAAAUGGCAGGAGAUUCUCUUUUGGGCGACCUGGGAGAGUCAAGCGCCAGUAAACCUUAACAUUUAGAGGAAGGAGAAGUCGUAACAAGGUUUCCGUAGGUGAACCUGCGUUUGGAUCAUUA
rnacentral:rRNA from 1 species